CAAUAGCAUAUAUUAAAGUUGUUGCAGUUAAAAAGCUCGUAGUUGGAUUUCUGGCAGGAGCGACCGGUCGCACGCUAUGCGUGUGAACUUGUGUUGUCUCUGGCCAUCCUUGGGGAGAUCCCGUUUGGCAUUAAGUUGUCGGGCGGGGGAUACCCAUCGUUUACUGUGAGAAAAUUAGAGUGUUUCAGGCAGGCUAGGCCGGAAUACAUUAGCAUGGAAUAAUGGAAUAGGACUACGGUCUCUUUGUUGGUUUGAGGGACUGCAGUAAUGAUUAAUAGGGAUAGUUGGGGGCAUUAGUAUUUAAUUGUCAGAGGUGGAAUUCUCGGAUUUGUUAAAGACUAACUUAUGCGAAAGCAUUUGUCAAGGAUGUUUUCAUUAAUCAAGAACGAAAGUUAGGGGAUCAAAGACGAUUAGAUACCAU
rnacentral:rRNA from 1 species